CCUACGGGUGGCAGCAGUGGGGAAUAUUGCGCAAUGGGCGAAAGCCUGACGCAGCGACGCCGCGUGAGGGAUGAAGGUCUUCGGAUCGUAAACCUCUGUUAGCAGGGAAGAACGGUCACUGUGCUAAUCAGCAGUGAAUUGACGGUACCUACAAAGAAAGCACCGGCUAACUCCGUGCCAGCAGCCGCGGUAAUACGGAGGGGGCGAGCGUUAAUCGGAAUUACUGGGCGUAAAGCGCUCGUAGGCGGUAUGUCAAGUCAAGGGUGAAAGCCCCGCGCUCAACGGUGGAACUGCCUUUGAAACUGGCAAACUGGAGUGUGUGAGAGGAUAGUGGAAUUCCAGGUGUAGGAGUGAAAUCCGUAGAGAUCUGGAGGAACAUCAGUGGCGAAGGCGACUAUCUGGCACGUAACUGACGCUGAGGAGCGAAAGCGUGGGUAGCAAACAGGAUUAGAUACCCCAGUAGUC
rnacentral:rRNA from 1 species